rnacentral:rRNA from 1 species
AUGGCGCCCCUGAAGAAGCUCUUCCAUACCUCACUUCUCCUGCUAGUAUGCGCAGCCAAGGCGGCCAACCCCGAAGCGGAAGCGGAAGCACUUCUCCGAUGGAAGUCCACUUUGGUUGGCGCCAACUCGCUAUCCUCAUGGUCGACCGCGAAUUCCACCUGCUCUUGGUUCGGCGUCGCCUGUGACGCUGCCGGACACGUUACGGAGCUCAGCCUUCCCAACGCCGGCCUCAACGGUACGCUCGAUUACUUGUAUUCGGCAGCACUCCGGAACCUCACCAAGAUCAAACUCAACAAAAAUAUUCUUGCUGGCGCCAUCCCGGCAAACAUAUCCAUGUUGCUCACGCUCGCCUUUCUGGACUUGGGCAGCAACAGUCUUGUUGGCUCCAUACCUCGCUCAUUCUCCAGGCUCCAAAACCUCAAGGCACUGCGGCUCUCUGCAAAUAAUCUCACAGGAGGAAUCCCGGAGGAGCUGGGGAUGAUAUCUGGGUUGGGGAAUCUUGUACUGUACGGCAAUCCCCUUGGCGGGUCGAUCCCAGCAUCACUCGGGCAGCUUCAGUUGCUACAUAUGCUCCACAUACAAAACGCUAGUCUGGUUUCCACUCUUCCACCCGAGCUGGGGAACCUUACUAGUCUUAAGUACAUGAUCCUGUCACAGAAUCAGUUAUAUGGAAGUUUGCCACCAUCUUUUGCCAGGAUACAAACAUUGUUAUUUUUUCACAUGCAUGGAAAUAAUAUCAAUGGUAGCAUCCCGUCAGAGAUGUUUACAAAUUGUACCAAGCUCGAGCGUUUCAUUGUAUAUGGAAACUUGUUAACUGGAAGCAUCUCAUCGCAUAUCAUCAAGUGCAAGGAGCUCGAGUUUUUUGAUGGAUCCGGAAACCUUUUAACUGGAAGCAUCCCAAGGGAGAUAGGGAGCAUGCGAAACUUGCAGGCAUUGUUCUUGUGGGAAAAUCACCUUACUGGAAUUAUGCCAUCAGAUAUUGGUAAUGCAACAUCUUUGAAAUUCCUUGACGUCAGCUCCAACCAUCUAGAGGGUGAGCUUCCUAGAACUAUCUCCUUGCUGGUAAAUCUUGUUGCUCUCAGCUUGUCUGGCAACAAGUUUACGGGUACCAUUCCUAAUCCUGACAGCAAGCAGUUGCCAGUUGUCAAGAUUGCCAACGGUAAAGACAAUGGCAGCUUCUCGGGAGAAUCACGAUUUCCUGGUUGCCUCUGGAAUUUGAAAGAUUUACAAGCCUUGGAUUUGUCAGGCAAUGCUUUUGCUGGGGAAAUUCCAACCUCAACUUUCAACAACUCUUCACUAAGGUCACUGCAAUUGUCAGGCAACUACUUCACAGGUUGCUUUCCAGCGGUGUUGAAGAACUUAAAAAGCCUUGUUGUUUUGGAUCUCAGUAACAAUAAGAUUUCCGGUGUAAUUCCUCCAUGGAUAGGGGAAAGCAAACCUUCGUUGAGGAUUCUCAUGCUACGGGCAAACAUGUUCUACGGAAGUAUUCCUUGGCAGGAGCUAUCACUCCUCCCCCGUCUCCAACUGCUUGAUCUUGCUGAAAAUAAUUUUGUAGGUUCCAUACCAGAAAGUUUGGUCAACUUCUCCUUGAUGGGACAGACUUUUGUGAUGCAACCAGUUGUAACAAACAUCAUAGUACUUACCAACUAUAGAUAUUAUUAUUUUUACAAUGGCAGCAUGGACAUAAUUUGGAAGGGACGGGAGUACACUUUUAAGGGAAGACAUGCCUUUGUGACUGGUAUUGAUCUCUCUGGUAAUUCUCUAUCCGGUGAGAUCCCUUCAGAGUUAACAAGUCUCAAAGGCAUGCAGUUUUUGAAUAUUUCAAGAAAUAACCUAUCUGGUAGUAUCCCCAAGGACAUUGGCAACCUAAAGUUAUUAGAGUCCCUUGACCUCUCUUGGAACAAAUUAACAGAGAUACCUACAGGAAGUCAGCUCCAAACACUUGAGGACCCAUCGAUCUACAGCAAUAAUCUUGGACUUUGUGGCCCUCCAUUGAGCAUUCCAUGCACAAACAAUUCGAGUAGUACAGAAGCAGUUGAUGGCGACCAUGAACAUGAAACGGUGUGGCUGUACUACUCGGUGAUUGCUGGAACUGUCUUCGGUUUCUGGGUAUGGUUUGGAGCAUUGUUCUUCUGCAAGAUCUGGCGGUUUGCGUUCUUCAGUUGCAUCGAUGCCAUGCAGCAGAAAGUUGUGCACAAGAUGAAGCAUACCUGA